rnacentral:RNase_P_RNA from 1 species
AAAAAUAAAGAGUGGUUGCAGAAAUAUUUAAGUAUUUUUGAGGAAAGUCCGAACUCUCAUGAAAUGAUUCAUAACUUAAGAAAAUUAAGUGCACACUUGGUGUGUAAGGAAAGUGCCACAGAAACAAAACUUUUUUACUUUAAAUGUAAAUCAAAGGUGCAAAUUUAAGGUAUUUUUGUGAAAAGUAUUUUCGGUAGACCCUUAUUGAGAGCAAAAGGUAAAAUUUGAAUGUCAUUUCUUUAAAUUUAUAUCUUGCUAGAAAAUUUCAGUAAUGAAAUUUCCAGAUAAAUAACCACACGCACAGAAUUCGGCUUAUACUUUAUUUUUUUGU